GACGAACGCUGGCGGCGUGCUUAACACAUGCAAGUCGAACGGAAAGGCCCUGCUUUUGUGGGGUGCUCGAGUGGCGAACGGGUGAGUAACACGUGAGUAACCUGCCCUUGACUUUGGGAUAACUUCAGGAAACUGGGGCUAAUACCGGAUAGGAGCUCCUGCUGCAUGGUGGGGGUUGGAAAGUUUCGGCGGUUGGGGAUGGACUCGCGGCUUAUCAGCUUGUUGGUGGGGUAGUGGCUUACCAAGGCUUUGACGGGUAGCCGGCCUGAGAGGGUGACCGGCCACAUUGGGACUGAGAUACGGCCCAGACUCCUACGGGAGGCAGCAGUGGGGAAUAUUGCACAAUGGGCGGAAGCCUGAUGCAGCAACGCCGCGUGCGGGAUGACGGCCUUCGGGUUGUAAACCGCUUUCGCCUGUGACGAAGCGUGAGUGACGGUAAUGGGUAAAGAAGCACCGGCUAACUACGUGCCAGCAGCCGCGGUGAUACGUAGGGUGCGAGCGUUGUCCGGAUUUAUUGGGCGUAAAGGGCUCGUAGGUGGUUGAUCGCGUCGGAAGUGUAAUCUUGGGGCUUAACCCUGAGCGUGCUUUCGAUACGGGUUGACUUGAGGAAGGUAGGGGAGAAUGGAAUUCCUGGUGGAGCGGUGGAAUGCGCAGAUAUCAGGAGGAACACCAGUGGCGAAGGCGGUUCUCUGGGCCUUUCCUGACGCUGAGGAGCGAAAGCGUGGGGAGCGAACAGGCUUAGAUACCCUGGUAGUCCACGCUGUAAACGGUGGGUACUAGGUGUGGGGUCCAUUCCACGGGUUCCGUGCCGUAGCUAACGCUUUAAGUACCCCGCCUGGGGAGUACGGCCGCAAGGCUAAAACUCAAAGGAAUUGACGGGGCCCCGCACAAGCGGCGGAGCAUGCGGAUUAAUUCGAUGCAACGCGUAGAACCUUACCUGGGUUUGACAUGGAUCGGGAGUGCUCAGAGAUGGGUGUGCCUCUUUUGGGGUCGGUUCACAGGUGGUGCAUGGCUGUCGUCAGCUCGUGUCGCGAGAUGUUGGGUUAAGUCCCGCAACGAGCGCAACCCUUGUUCACUGUUGCCAGCACGUUAUGGUGGGGACUCAGUGGAGACCGCCGGGGUCAACUCGGAGGAAGGUGGGGAUGACGUCAAGUCAUCAUGCCCCUUAUGUCCAGGGCUUCACGCAUGCUACAAUGGCUGGUACAGAGAGUGGCGAGCCUGUGAGGGUGAGCGAAUCUCGGAAAGCCGGUCUCAGUUCGGAUUGGGGUCUGCAACUCGACCUCAUGAAGUCGGAGUCGCUAGUAGUCGCAGAUCAGCAACGCUGCGGUGAAUACGUUCCCGGG
rnacentral:rRNA from 1 species